UACAGAGGGUGCGAGCGUUAAUCGGAAUUACUGGGCGUAAAGCGCACGUAGGUGGCGCCGUAAGUCGGGUGUGAAAGCCCCGGGCUCAACCUGGGAAUUGCAUUCGAGACUGCAUUGCUGGAGUACGGAAGAGGAAGGCGGAAUUCCACGUGUAGCAGUGAAAUGCGUAGAGAUGUGGAGGAAUACCAAUGGCGAAGGCAGCCCCCUGGGAUAAUAUUGACGCUCAUGCACGAAAGCGUGGGGAGCAAACAGG
rnacentral:rRNA from 1 species